rfam:Myotis brandtii contig256648, whole genome shotgun sequence.
GAGACACCCUUAUGGGGCAGGACUUGCUUCAGUGGGGCUUUGGUGCUCACUGAGUCUACCCCCUGAGUGUGUCUCU